GGGGGGGGGGGGGGGGGGGGGGGGGGGGGGGGGGGGGGGGGGGGGGGGGGUGGGUUGGGGGGGUGGGGGGGUGGCGAAGGGGGGAGUAGCGCGUGAGUGACCUGGCCUUGGCUGUGGGAUAACUUCAGGAAACUGGGGCUAAUCGCGGAUAGGAGCUCCUGCUGCAUGGUGGGGGGUGGAAAGUUUCGGCGGUUGGGGGUGGACUCGCGGCUUAUCAGCUUGUUGGUGGGGUAGUGGCUUACCAAGGCUUUGACGGGUAGCCGGCCUGAGAGGGUGACCGGCCACAUUGGGACUGAGAUACGGCCCAGACUCCUACGGGAGGCAGCAGUGGGGAAUAUUGCACAAUGGGCGGAAGCCUGAUGCAGCAACGCCGCGUGCGGGAUGACGGCCUUCGGGUUGUAAACCGCUUUCGCCUGUGACGAAGCGUGAGUGACGGUAAUGGGUAAAGAAGCACCGGCUAACUACGUG
rnacentral:rRNA from 1 species